rnacentral:rRNA from 1 species
CCUACGGGUGGCAGCAGUGAGGAAUAUUGGUCAAUGGACGAAAGUCUGAACCAGCCAUGCCGCGUGCAGGAAGACGGCCCUAUGAGUUGUAAACUGCUUUUGUACGAGGGUAAACGCAGAUACGCGUAUCUGUCUGAAAGUAUCGUACGACUAAGGAUCGGCUAACUCCGUGCCAGCAGCCGCGGUAAUACGGAGGAUUCAAGCGUUAUCCGGAUUUAUUGGGUUUAAAGGGUGCGUAGGCGGUCGGAUACGUUAGCGGUGAAAUCCCGAGGCUCAACUUCGGAAUUGCAGCUGAUACUGGUCGGCUAGCGAGUAGUAGCGGUAGGCGGAAUGCGUGGUGUAGCGGUGAAAUGCUUAGAGAUCAUACAGAACACCGAUUGCGAAGGCAGCUUACCAAGCUACUUCUGACGUUGAGGCACGAAAGCGUGGGGAGCAAACAGGAUUAGAUACCCGGGUAGUC